UUUCCCAGUCAGACCUUGCCAAGAGAAGCAGGGAGAAAAUGUUUUAGUUGCCUCCUUCAGAACAGCUUGGCCUAGAAUCUCUCGCUGUGCGUCACUGUCAUGGCCUUGCUGAGGACGAGGGCAUUUUAAUAAUUUGUGGCGGUCCCAGGGUGUUUGUGGGAGAUGAUGAGGAUGUUACCUUUUCAGAUAAAAACUAAGAAAUCCAGGGCUAGCAAAUUCUAUUAGAAAUCUGGUAUUUAGACAUUGUAUUUUAAGCAGUGGGGUUCUCAGUUCCUGAGAUGGUUUUUGUUUGCAGGAAGCAACAUGGUUUGGUCUGUGAUUGUACCAAAGGGGAAAGAGGGUUGUUUGUAAUGGAAGAGAGAAGACUGAAGGUCUCCGAUGCGGAUAGGAUUUGAACCCACGCAUGCGGACCACAAUGGAUUAGCAGCAUCACCUUAACCACUCAGCCACCUCAUCUGAGCUGUCAGGGAAGGGACAAGAGGAGAAAUCCAAGGCCAGCAGAGUUCGCUGCUUGUGGCGGCAAAAAAGCUGGAGCUGGCCGUGGGGACAUGAGCUCGACAUCCCAGCCUGUGUUAGCUCCAACCCCAUAUCUGCCCUCGGAGAAGGGAAAUGAAAAUCGCUGACCAAAAUGACAAUUUUCACCCUGUUGUCAGAUGCCACUGGUGUGGAGCUCUGCUCGUUUGAUGUUAACAGUCGGCUGCAUGUGUGCUGACCCGGCUCUGCAGAUCGCUGGCACAGCAGACCCAGAGAGAACCCCCAAUGACCACAGACACUGAUGAGGGAUGAAGGCACCCGGCCAGGUUUAUUGUCUAAUGAAGCACGGUAAUAGUUCCCCGUAGACUCUACAGGACAUACUACAAGUAUGUGCCCCCGACAAUGGACCAGUUCAGUCAGUGGCGGGACUCUCCACUGCCCCCUAGGCCAGACAAAGACGUCCACUCGGGUGCAUUCGUAUACACGGGCCUCAUCCUGCUACACAUCAACGGUGGUGCUGACCACAGUGAAACGCCACUUUGGGGCCAAGGAAACAAGCACCGAGUGGUGGGAUCACAUCGUGAUGCACGUCUGGGAUGAUGAGUGUUAUCAGAGGUGUGUUGUUAGAAGCACUACCAGUAUGGUGCUCUGCUCUGCUCUCUCCAAUGUUGGUAUCACUCGGCUGCUUGCGUGAGCUCACCCUGUGUGCUGCCCCAGCUCUGCAGAUAGCUGAUGCAGCAGACCCGACGAGAAGCCCCAAUGACCACAGACUCUAGUAAGGUGCAAAGUCACGUCUGCUAGGUUUAUUGCGAUCUUGGACACAAUGGCAGUUCCCUGUAGGUUUCUUAGUCUAACUCAGGGCAUACUACGAGAAAGUGCCUCUUGGCAAUGG